GAUGAACGCUGGCGGCGUGCCUAAUACAUGCAAGUCGAGCGAACAGAUGAGGAGCUUGCUCCUCUGACGUUAGCGGCGGACGGGUGAGUAACACGUGGAUAACCUACCUAUAAGACUGGGAUAACUUCGGGAAACCGGAGCUAAUACCGGAUAAUAUAUUGAACCGCAUGGCUCAAUAGUGAAAGACGGUUUUGCUGUCACUUAUAGAUGGAUCCGCGCCGCAUUAGCUAGUUGGUAAGGUAACGGCUUACCAAGGCAACGAUGCGUAGCCGACCUGAGAGGGUGAUCGGCCACACUGGAACUGAGACACGGUCCAGACUCCUACGGGAGGCAGCAGUAGGGAAUCUUCCGCAAAGGGCGAAAGCCUGACGGAGCAACGCCGCGUGAGUGAUGAAGGUCUUCGGAUCGUAAAACUCUGUUAUUAGGGAAGAACAAAUGUGUAAGUAACUAUGCACGUCUUGACGGUACCUAAUCAGAAAGCCACGGCUAACUACGUG
rnacentral:rRNA from 1 species